rnacentral:lncRNA from 1 species
UAAGAGAACAUAAAAUUGCAUCUUUACGUUGCUAUAUGACAAAUUUGUACGACAUUCUACAAACGUUGGUUAACAUAAAGAACAAGGAUCUGAAAAGCAAGACAGCAAUUCCACCGGCAGCUCUAAGAGUAUUGAAGCAAGAACCUGCGGCAUUGAAUCAGACAGCAUUCAGAACUCGGCAGAACUCGGGCGAGUCAUCGAUAAAGUCUUGGGACGAAAUGUUGAACAUGAAAUCAAACGAAAAUUAUGCAAUACCAGCAAAG